rnacentral:rRNA from 1 species
GACGAACGCUGGCGGCGUGCCUAAUACAUGCAAGUCGAACGCAGUUGGGAUGGGUGAGUAACACGUGGGUAACCUCCCAUCAGAGGGGAUAACACUUGGAAACAGGUGCUAAACCGAUACUGAUGGAUGGACCCGCGGUGCAUUAGCUAGUUGGUGAGGUAACGGCUCACCAAGGCGACGAUACAUAGGCGACCUGGGAGGGUUAUCGGCCACACCUGGGACUAGACAACGGCCCGACUUCUUACGGAGGGAACCGUUGGGAAUUUUCGGCAAUGGACCGAAGUCCUACCGAGCAACGGCGCCGGGGUUAAGAAGGGUUUCGGAUCGGAAAGCUCUGUUGUUAGAGAAGCGGUAACUAACCAGAAAGGGACGGCUAACUACGUGCCAGCAGCCGCGGUAAUAC